rnacentral:lncRNA from 1 species
CCUCUUGUGCAUGUGCUGUGCACAUGGCUCUCGAAGUACCUCGUACAUUUCAUUAUUUUUCUCAGGUUUCAACGCACCCUACGUGGCAAAUUCCGUAGCGAGGAACGAUGUAAUUUUUAUAGAUGCCCAAGCAUCGUCUAUUUAAAAGAUAAAAGCGUGGCAAAAUAUAACCGAUUUUCUUCCCCUAAAAUACCCCCAG